rnacentral:lncRNA from 1 species
GGCCGGCUGGGGUUCCUGGGGAUGGGAUUUGCUUCCUGUCACAAAUCACAUUGCCAGGGAUUUCCAACCGACCCUGAGCUCUGCCACCGAGGAUGCUGCCCGGGGACGGGGUGGCAGAGAGGCCCCGAAGCCUGUGCCUGGCCUGAGGAGCAGGGCUUAGCUGCUUGUGAGCAGGGUCCACACCAAGUCGUGUUCACAGUGGCUAAGUUCCGCCCCCCAGGCCCUCACCUCCUCUGGCCUUGCCGCCUGUCCCCUGCUGCCGCCUGUCUGCCUGCCAUCCUGCUGCCUGGCCUCCCUGGGCUCUGCCUCCCGUGCCUACUGAGCUGAAACACAGUUGGUUUGUGUACACUGGCUCAGUUCAGCAGGAACAGGG